rnacentral:pre_miRNA from 1 species
UCCAUGAAAUUCUGUAAUUCUGUGAAAGUACAUUCAGGAAUAGAGAAUUUCAUUGAAA